AGGGUUAUAGCUCAGUGGUAGCACAACUGCUUUGUGUGCAGAAGGUCUGAGGUUCAAUCCCUGUUAUCCCCA